GAUGAACGCUGGCGGCGUGCUUAACACAUGCAAGUCGAACGAUGAAGCCAGCUUGCUGGGUGGAUUAGUGGCGAACGGGUGAGUAACACGUGAGUAACCUGCCCUUAACUCUGGGAUAAGCCUGGGAAACUGGGUCUAAUACCGGAUAGGAGCGUCCACCGCAUGGUGGGUGUUGGAAAGAUUUAUCGGUUUUGGAUGGACUCGCGGCCUAUCAGCUUGUUGGUGAGGUAAUGGCUCACCAAGGCGACGACGGGUAGCCGGCCUGAGAGGGUGACCGGCCACACUGGGACUGAGACACGGCCCAGACUCCUACGGGAGGCAGCAGUGAGGAAUAUUGCACAAUGGGCGCAAGCCUGAUGCAGCGACGCCGCGUGAGGGAUGACGGCCUUCGGGUUGUAAACCUCUUUCAGUAGGGAAGAAGCGAAAGUGACGGUACCUGCAGAAGAAGCACCGGCUAACUACGUG
rnacentral:rRNA from 1 species